rnacentral:rRNA from 1 species
AGCAGUAGCCACGGGAAUACGUAGGGGGCGAGCGUUGUCCGAAGUUACUGGGCGUAAAGCGCGCGUAGGCGGCUUCUUAAGUCUGAGGCGAAAGGUUCAACGCUUAACGUGAACAGUGCCUUGGAUACUGGGGAGCUUGAGUAUGGGAGAGGGCAGUGGAAUGGCUGGUGUAGCGGUGAAAUGCGUAGAUAUCAGUCGGAACACCCAUGGCGAAGGCAGCUGCCUGGCCUAAUACUGACGCUGAGGUGCGAAAGCGUGGGGAGCGAACGGGAUUAGAUACCCCAGUAGUCCCUGUCUCUUAUU